CAUGUAGGGGGCGAGCGUUGUCCGGAAUCACUGGGCGUAAAGGGCGCGUAGGUGGCGACCCAAGUCAGUGGUGAAAGCUCGCCGCUUAACGGCGAGUCGGCCACUGAUACUGGGUUGCUCGAGCACUGUAGAGGCUAAUGGAAUUCCGGGUGUAGCGGUGGAAUGCGUAGAGAUCCGGAAGAACACCGGUGGCGAAGGCGGUUAGCUGGGCAGUUGCUGACACUGAGGCGCGACAGCGUGGGGAGCAAACAGG
rnacentral:rRNA from 1 species